AAUCAACGCUGGCGGCGUGCCUAACACAUGCAAGUCGAACGCGAAAGGGGGCUUCGGCUCCUAAGUAGAGUGGCGUCCGGGUGAGUAACACGUGGGUAAUCUGCCUUCGGGUGGGGAAGUAACUCAGGGAAACGUUGAGCUAAUACCGCAUAAUGCAGCGGCACCUAAUGGUGAUUAGUUGUUAAAGCGGGGGAUCGCAAGACCUCGCGCCUGAAGAGGAGCCUGCGGCAGAUUAGCUAGUUGGUAGGGUAACGGCCUACCAAGGCGACGAUCCGUAGCCGGCCUGAGAGGGCGGUCGGCCACACUGACACUGACAUACGGGUCAGACUCCUACGGGAGGCAGCAGUCGGGAAUUUUGGGCAAUGGGCGAAAGCCUGACCCAGCAACGCCGCGUGAAGGAUGAAAUCCCUCGGGAUGUAAACUUCGCAAGAACGGGAAGAAUAAGCGAGAGUAAAUACCUUUCGCGAUGACGGUA
rnacentral:rRNA from 1 species